AUGGGAACAAUUUGAAUCGCAUGAUUCAAAUUUAAAAGAUGGCUUCGGCUAUCACUUUGGGAUGGACCUGCGGCGCAUUAGCUUGUUGGUAGGGUAACGGCCUACCAAGGCUGUGAUGCGUAGCCGAGUUGAGAGACUGAUCGGCCACAAUGGAACUGAGACACGGUCCAUACUCCUACGGGAGGCAGCAGUAGGGAAUCUUCCACAAUGGGCGCAAGCCUGAUGGAGCAACACCGCGUGAGUGAAGAAGGGUUUCGGCUCGUAAAGCUCUGUUGUUAGAGAAGAACGUGCGUGAGAGUAACUGUUCACGCAGUGACGGUAUCUAACCAGAAAGUCACGGCUAACUACGUGCCAGCAGCCGCGGUAAUACGUAGGUGGCAAGCGUUAUCCGGAUUUAUUGGGCGUAAAGCGAGCGCAGGCGGUUUGAUAAGUCUGAUGUGAAAGCCUUUGGCUUAACCAAAGAAGUGCAUCGGAAACUGUCAGACUUGAGUGCAGAAGAGGACAGUGGAACUCCAUGUGUAGCGGUGGAAUGCGUAGAUAUAUGGAAGAACACCGGUGGCGAAGGCGGCUGUCUGGUCUGCAACUGACGCUGAGGCUCGAAAGCAUGGGUAGCGAACAGGAUUAGAUACCCUGGUAGUCCAUGCCGUAAACGAUGAGUGCUAGGUGUUGGAGGGUUUCCGCCCUUCAGUGCCGCAGCUAACGCAUUAAGCACUCCGCCUGGGGAGUACGACCGCAAGGUUGAAACUCAAAGGAAUUGACGGGGGCCCGCACAAGCGGUGGAGCAUGUGGUUUAAUUCGAAGCUACGCGAAGAACCUUACCAGGUCUUGACAUCUUGCGCCAACCCUAGAGAUAGGGCGUUUCCUUCGGGAACGCAAUGACAGGUGGUGCAUGGUCGUCGUCAGCUCGUGUCGUGAGAUGUUGGGUUAAGUCCCGCAACGAGCGCAACCCUUGUUACUAGUUGCCAGCAUUUAGUUGGGCACUCUAGUGAGACUGCCGGUGACAAACCGGAGGAAGGUGGGGACGACGUCAGAUCAUCAUGCCCCUUAUGACCUGGGCUACACACGUGCUACAAUGGACGGUACAACGAGUCGCGAACUCGCGAGGGCAAGCUA
rnacentral:rRNA from 1 species